CAGUCGCCACGGGAAUACGGAGGGUGCAAGCGUUAAUCGGAAUUACUGGGCGUAAAGCGUGCGUAGGCGGUGAGUUAAGUCUGCUGUGAAAUCCCCGGGCUCAACCUGGGAAUGGCAGUGGAUACUGGCUCGCUAGAGUGUGUCAGAGGAUGGUGGAAUUCCCGGUGUAGCGGUGAAAUGCGUAGAGAUCGGGAGGAACAUCAGUGGCGAAGGCGGCCAUCUGGGACAACACUGACGCUGAGGCACGAAAGCGUGGGGAGCAAACAGGAUUAGAGACCCCUGUAUCCCUGUCUCUUAUACA
rnacentral:rRNA from 1 species